UUUUUUUAUAUUUCCCUCCUUAGUUGAAACCAAAAAUGUCUGUAUGCAUUUUUUUUCUAAAAGAACCUUGGUCGUGCAUUAAAUUGGGUUCUCGUUCAAUUUCUCACAUUUGUACACAUUAAUAACUUGACAGUUGGGGUAUUUAUUAUUCUUACCAAUAAAUACAAUAAGGUGAUUGUGGAAGGAAUAAAUUUGGUGAAAACAUACCUGCUCCAUCUUUUAUCCUGACUAAGUUUCUGCCAAAAAAGCCAGUCAAAAUUGGGUUUAAGGUGAUCAGCUAGUGGGAAUCACGCACUGAGAUGAUGUCUGCUACCAAGCAUCUGCUAGAUCUCUUUUGAGUGAUCAUUUUUUCAUAUUAAGAAGUUUCACAUAUUAGGUUUUGGCAACUAUUUCAAGAUGACCAGCUGGGUGCAGAUGAUUUGCAAUUGAAUUGGAAGUGAUCGGGAGCAUAUUUUUAAAUUUUCGGGGAUAAAGACCAUCUCUGUUCAUAAUUAGAUUUUUAUCCCUUUCAAAUUGUCACUUUUGACUUGAUCUGGUGCAGAGGACAACAGUAUUGGAAUGAAAAAGUCCAAAGAAUACAAUCAUAUGAGUUCAGUUGGAAGUGAUCGGGAGCUAAUUAGAACAUUUGGGGGAUAGAAUCCAUCUCUCUUCAUAGUUAGAUUUUUAUCCCUUUCGAAUUGGUAUUUUAAAUUAGUUUUCAGUCAAUAAUUAAAGAUCUUAUUGAUCGCAAAAGAGCUGGUUUCAUAGUUGCCUAAUGUGAUUUGUGGUAUACUUGCUAUAGUCACUUUUGACUUGAUCUGGUGUCGAGGACAACAAUAUUGACAUAAAAUAAGUCGAAAGGACACCAUCAUUUGAGAUAUUCAGAAUGUAUUUGUUUUGUGUGUGAUGUUUUACAUUCCUCUUGAUCUUCUUAAUUGAUAUACUUGAAUCAUAUCUGCUAUGCUAAUCUGCUAAUUGGUAUUUGUAGGUAAGUUUCAUAUUAACUGUAUUGAACUAUUAGCUUUGAUAUACCAUACACUCAGUGGUUGAUGUUUGCAUGGUAAUCCUUCUUUUUUUCCAAUAUACUAUGAGGUUCAAUAAUAAUAUUACUUGAUUGUUAUUAUUUUUUUAAGCUUUUUACCGAGCCCAUGUCAUAAUGUAGGAUAGUUACUCCUAACUUUCUCUCUGAGUUAUACAUACACAUCGUAUGAA